rnacentral:rRNA from 1 species
GACGAACGCUGGCGGCAUGCCUAACACAUGCAAGUCGAGCGAGUUGAUCCCUUCGGGGUGAAGCUAGCGGCGGACGGGUGAGUAACACGUGGGCAACCUGCCUCAUAGAGGGGAAUAGCCUUCCGAAAGGAAGAUUAAUACCGCAUAAGAUUGUAGCUUCGCAUGAAGCAGCAAUUAAAGGAGCAAUCCGCUAUGAGAUGGGCCCGCGGCGCAUUAGCUAGUUGGUGAGGUAACGGCUCACCAAGGCGACGAUGCGUAGCCGACCUGAGAGGGUGAUCGGCCACAUUGGGACGGAGAAACUGCCCAGACUCCUACGGGAGGCAGCAGUGGGGAAUAUUGCACAAUGGGGGAAACCCUGAUGCAGCAAUGCCGCGUGAGUGAUGACGGCCUUCGGGUUGUAAAGCUCUGUCUUCGGGGACGAUAAUGACGGUACCCGAGGAGGAAGCCACGGCUAACUACGUGCCAGCAGCCGCCGUAA